rnacentral:rRNA from 1 species
GAUGAACGCUGGCGGCGUGCCUAAUACAUGCAAGUCGAGCGAAUGGAUUAAGAGCUUGCUCUUAUGAAGUUAGCGGCGGACGGGUGAGUAACACGUGGGUAACCUGCUCAUAAGACUGGGAUAACUCCGGGAAACCGGGGCUAAUACCGGAUAAUGUUUUGAACUGCAUGGUUCAAAAUUGAAAGGCGGUUUCGGCUGUCACUUACGGAUGGACCCGCGUUGCAUGAGCUAGUUGGUGAGGUAACGGCUCACCAAGGCAACGAUGCGUAGCCGACCUGGGUGGGUGAUCGGCCACACUGGGACUGAGACACGGCCCAGACUCCUACGGGGGGCAGCAGUAGGGAAGCUUCCGCAAUGGACGAAAGUCUGACGGAGCAACGCCGCGUGAGUGAUGAAGUCUUUCGGGUCGUAAAACUCUGUUGUUAGGGAAGAACAAGUGCUAGUUGAAUAAGCUGGCACCUUGACGGUACCUAACCAGAAAGCCACGGCUAACUACGUGCCAGCCGCCGCGGUAA